GAAAUGCGAUAAGUAAUGUGAAUUGCAGAAUUCAGUGAAUCAUCGAAUCUUUGAACGCACAUUGCGCCCGCCAGUAUUCUGGCGGGCAUGCCUGUUCGAGCGUCAUUUCAACCCUCAAGCCCCAGCGGUUUGGUGUUGGGGACCGGCGAGUACAGAGGCUUUGGGGACUUGUCCCCCUUCCCUCGGCGCCGCCCCCGAAAUGAAUUGGCGGUCUCGUCGCGGCCUCCUCUGCGUAGUAGCACAACCUCGCAUCAGGAGCGCGGCGCGGCCACUGCCGUAAAACGCCCAACUUUUUUUUAAGAGUUGACCUCGAAUCAGGUAGGAAUACCCGCUGAACUUAA
rnacentral:misc_RNA from 1 species